UUUGAGUGGAUUUGAGGGAGAGUAAUUGAGUGGAUUUGAGAGGAUUUGAAGGUAAUUUUUUUUGCUGUUUAUUUGAGUGAAUUUGGAGGUUAAAGAGACUGGAUUUGGAAGUAAAGUUUGUGAGAAUUAGUGUAAGAUUUAAUUUAUAUGGUAGAUUAAAAAAAUUUACUUCCAAAUUCAUACUCGUUUACCUCCAAAUUCACUCAAAUAAACAACAAAAAAAAUUACCUUCUAUUUUUCUCAAAUCCACUCAAUUCCUCUCCCUCAAAUCCACUCAAGUGAACAAGACCUAAAUAUUUUCUUAUUGAAGAAACUUUUUUGACUGAAUUUUUCUAUCCCAACCUACACAUAAAUCAGGACAGAAUUAAAUUAACAUGUCUACUACCAGCACUUUCGCUCCUCCACUAUGAGCACCCUUUCCCGUCUGUCAUGUUCAUCGUACUUCUUAAUCAAAUACGGGUAAUGAACUGUGCAUAGAUUGAUUUGAGUAGG
rnacentral:lncRNA from 1 species